ACAUACCGCAAAAUAAUAAUAAUAAUAAUUUGUAGUUGAUUUUUUUCAACCGUCCACUGUCCAUUGAUUCUCUUGAAUUCAGGAGAAAUUACAGGCAAUCUCCAAUCUGCAUUUCAGAACUUAAUUUGUCGAAGAAUGAUGGCCAUAAUCUAUGACUUAAUGUAGGUUGAAAAUGAAAUCUCUUCUAUGAAUCUGUACAAAUAUUUCCUGUAGGAACAAUGAGACAGAGGAAAGAGGUAGAUUUCCAGGUUAGCCUUCAAAAGCCUCUUAAACCCUAAUUGAGCAGCACUGCUUUUACGGAAAAGGUAUCCAGUAACCCUUCCCAGUUCCAGGCACCGGAGACUGCCCCCUCCCCUAUACAUGUUCCAAAACAAACUUCGGGAUGGGUGAUCUGACAGCAGAGAUUGUAGCUUCUUUAAUAUCAGGGACUUAUUCCCCAUCCUGAGGAAGUUAUAUAUAUGAGAGGUGGGGAGAAGACAUGGGAAAAGCUCCAGAUGGACAACGUGUAUGAAGGCUGGGAAGUUAGUUGGCAAGGUAAAGCUACAGCUGGGAGGCCCCCCGGAACAGGGAGGGCUAGGGGAGGGGGGAAGGGGGAGAUCAAGUAGUCAAUGAAGCAAGCGAUAAGAAUUACAUAUGAACAGGAGAAGCAAGAAAGAGGAAAAAGAACAUUAUACACUCACCUGCACAGACCACACAUCUUGGUUAGUCAUACACAGCAGGGUCCCUGCCUGCUUCUGUGGCCAGUAAUAAGCAGGCGGGUCCUCCAGCCACUCAGGCUCCCUUCCUGGGAGGUUUCCACCAGCCCUGUCCUCAGGGCUUUGCUGCUCUCUGGACUCAGUUUUCAACUUCACAGACAUCCUAACCCCGAGGUAGUCACCCCCCUGCCUCUUACUUCCUUACCUCUGGCCUCAGGUUUGGAUCCUGUAUGGUUCCCUCAGUUCAGAACUCUUGCCACCUAGUUGGUUUCUAAGAAAGACUUCCUUGUCCUUCCUCUUCUCUCAGCGUCUUCCCCUCCCACACACAUUUCCCUCCUAAUCAUGGGGUCCUCCCUCUACCCCUGUAUUGAGAGACCUUCCCACUCCACUAUGUCUGGUGCCCCCGUCCCAGCCUUUCUCAUCCAGGGAACUUGGACCCUAGGUCUCUUGGUCCACUCGCCACCCACCCUCCACCCAACACUGCUUCUCUCCUCUUCCUCCACCUUCUGCUUACUGCUGGCCUCCCUCCCUCCCAAGCUUGGGCUGCUUCCUGCCCUCCACCCUUUCCUUUUGUCAGACCCUGUGCUCUCAAGUCAACUUUUUAACCACCCCCCUUCCCCAUUCUCUUGAUUUCUCUCCUCUUCCUAAUUUGAGGGAGUUCUCUCCUGCCUCCUUAAUUGGGCCAAUUGUUCGUGCUCUUGACUCCCUUCUCUUCCUUCUCCCCCUGGAGAACGUUCUCCCACCUCCCCUACCCCCCCAUCUGGCUUUUCUUUCCCCCCAGUAUUUCUUUCAUCUGCCGUGUCACUGAGCUAAUGAUGUUCCUUCCUCUUCCACAUCUGGAUCCUUCUCCCCACCCUACCACAGACCCCUACCACCGCCUCCCCCAUUUCCUUGCUGUUCCUAACCUGCAUCUUUUUCCCACUUUCAGUUCUCUUCCCUCCCUCCGUCCCCAAUUACAAAUCCUUCCCUCCCUUCCUGACCCAAGGACCGCUCCCUCUCCCCAAUACCUUUUCUCCUUUUCCCUCAAAGCCCUCCAUUCCUGUGCCAGGGUCCCUUUUUUCCUCUCUGGACCCUAUUUUCAUUCCCUAUGAUCUCGACUCUAGGCUCAAACCCCUCCUCCCCCUUCUUGACUCCAGAAAGAUUCGGACACCUUUCUUCGACCCCAGCGUUUAUUCCUCAUCUUCUUUCUUCCUUCCCUAUUUCCCAGGGAUUCUUAAAACCCUUUACAUAUGAGAUUGAAAAUAACCAAAUGCUAAAUAAAUAAGAUGGAGAAUACAGAUACUAAGGCCUUCGAAUAUGCUUCUCCCUCUUCCUGAACACCCCCUUCGCCCCUUCUCCACAUCUAGUCAUGGCUGGCUUCUUUUUGUUCAGAUUUUAGCCUGAAAGUCACCUUGUAAGAGAAUCAUUCCCUGGUCACCUAAUAUAAAGGAUUCCCAAACACCACCCACCCACAGACCAUAUUGGUUUUUGUUUUCUAAAGAACAUUUAAUACUGUGAAGUCUUGAUGUGUUGGUCCAUCUAGAAUUGAUGUCCCAUGAAAGAGGACUUAACUUUCUUGUUCAUCUUGUAUCUCUGCCAUUUAGAAUGGUGCCUGGUACAUAAUGGCUCAGUCAGUUUGCUGAAUAAGUUAGUGAUUUCUAGGUACCAGACACUAUGCCAAGUGCUCGCUCUAUCUUGUUUAAUCCUUACAACAAGGCUGACUGAAGUAAGUACUUUUUUUUUUUUUUUAGUACUUUUAUUAUUGCUAUUUUAUUCCUUAAGUAACUGAAGUGCAGAAAGGAUAAGUGAAUUUGCCUGUUGUCUCAAAACAGUUGGUAUAUCUGAGAAUUUAAUCCAGAUCCGUAUGAAGUCACAGCUCAUGUUCCUCCCACUUUCUCUGGUGGUCCAGAGGAAAAGGGCCCUUAGGAAUGGAAAGGGAAAGAAGAUGGAUCUGAAUGCAAGGUAAGUCAAACUGGAGUCAGGACUCCUGUGCUGGUACAGGGAGUGCAGGAUGUAUAGAAUAGGACACUAGAUCCUAUGUGAAGAUGAGGAUAAUAACAGGAGCUAACACUUAGGAGCACUUACUUUGUGCCAGGUUCCAAACAAUAUAUCGAAUUCACUCUCACCUAGGAGUGGUAAUGUCAUCUUACAGAUAAGGCGACUGAGGCUCAGAGAUGCUAAUUAUCUUCUCUGAGGCCAUACAGGUACGAUAUAGGGGAGCUGGGAUACCACCCCAGGCAGUCUGACUACAAAGCAAGUACUCUGGUUGCUAUCCUGCACUACACCCAGCAGGAGAAUAAACAGAUUUAUGAGAGUAGUAUGCUCUGUGUUGGGCACCAACUCCUGCUUCCUGGAUUCUUAUCUUCUGGACAUUCUGGAAUGACCUCAGCUGAUGUAACACUCCUGCCUCCUGGCUUACCUCUUACUGCUCUCCAGAGGAGGUGAUUGAUGAUGAUCACCACGUUACUCCACUAGCACUGGGGAGGCCCCCCCCCCUUUAUCUCUUCCCUUCACCUGGGAUUAGCACAGGGCGGCAAUUCUGGAUUAGCGUAUCUGCUCUACAGAUUCAAGCUUUUUUCUUGAGUGGGGUGUCCCCGGGCUCAGAUUGCUGAAGCAUGGGGGUAAAAAUGGAGAAGCAAGCCCUUCCAGCUAGAGUUCUAAAACCACAGUCUCCCAUUGGCUUCUUAUUGAUAAUAAAGCUGAUUUGUUUUCCAAAUGGCAGGAGCGAGCCUAGCAGGCCAGACAGGCGGAAGCACAGGUGGCAUCGGCUCUAGGACAGUCUACUCCGGUCAUAGAGGGAUUUUCCUCUCAAAAUGAAUGGGUAUGUGAUGCCCGGGUAUGCAGUAGCCAUCUUAAGACCGUGAGGAUGAAGACUGUAUGCAAAGAAGGCAGAACAGGAAGACUGAAGACUACCCCUCGGCGUAUUAUCUCUGGACUUACUGUUAAAUGAGAAAAAAUGAGCUGCUGUUUAAUUAAACUGCUGUGGUUGUUUUUCAGUUAUAUGCAGCCAAACACAAUUCUAGCAGAAAGGGCUAAAGUGGCAUUCACUGCUGACCGAGACAUACAAACUGUUUCUUUAGCCAAAGACACAACUAAUAAUGUAACGGUUCUACUGGGUUAGGUAUUCUCAUUACCCUUCAAACUCCUCUGAAACUAGGGUACAUGGGAGUUAACAUUGGAAAGUGGACCAAAAAGGCAUUCUUCAAAUUGCAGUGUUUUUAUUAGAAUAUUAUUAAUUGCAGAUUUUUAAAAAACUA